CAAAGUGUGUAACGGAAUA
rnacentral:misc_RNA from 1 species